GAUAACGCUGGCGGCGUGCUUCAGGCAUGCAAGUCGAACGGACCUUCGGGUCAGUGGCGGACGGGUGAGUAACACGUAAGCAACCUGCCCAGAAGUGGGGAAUAACCCACCGAAAGGUGAGCUAAUACCGCAUGUGAUGGGCCUUCUCUGGAGGGUUCAUUAAAGGUUUCGGCCGCUUUUGGAGGGGCUUGCGCUCGAUUAGCUAGUUGGUGGGUAAUGGCCUACCAAGGCUGCGAUCGAUAGCUGGUCUGAGAGGACGGUCAGCCACACGGGGGACUGAGAUACGGCCCCGACUCCUACGGGUGGCUG
rnacentral:rRNA from 1 species